GUAUCAUAUGAUCCAGAUGCCAAC
rnacentral:siRNA from 1 species